GCAAAAACAGUUGGCUAAAUUUGGCUUUGGCACCAAAAUAUUUCGAUUUGAUAAAAAAAUGUUUUUUUCUUAAGUAAUUUCCUUGGUGGUGAUGAUAACAACGUACACGUCCAUCCUCUUCCAAACUCAGAUCUCGCCGGUCGUUUCGUCUAGCAGUGGCACCACCAUCACCGUCAGAGCCACCAAUCCCUCCGGAUCUGUCAUCUCCUUUAUGCUUCUGUUCGUAAAACUUGUAGUUUUGGAUCUCAACCUCGGUUUGUCGACUCUGUUCCAACUCAAAGAGUGGCUCCUAACCUUAACUUGUUUACUCCGUGUCUGUCAGUCGGCGGCUUCGUUUCUGCUCCCCAGAACUUCGUGAUUUGUUAUCCAAGCCAAAUCGGAACAUCGGAGAAAUCUGUGGAGAUUAUGAAGAAGUUACUCGGAGCAGUAUGGUCGUCGCUCAGGGACUUACUUCUGUCGUCAUCAAGGUUUGAUAAUUAACCUUCAAAGAUUAUAUGAUUUUGGAGGAGAUUGCUUCUUCUACUUGUAGAUAAUGAUUUGCCAGAAGAAGAUUUAGCGUUGUUUUCUUGAUGUAUACAGUAGCUAUUUGAUAUCUUAAUGUGGAAUUUUGUUGCAUAUGUGGUGUUUUUUUGUCUAAAGUAACUAUCUUUCUGCGUUGAUUAUAAACUACUUGGAGAAGAAAUUGAGCUAGUUCAUGUGAAGAACUUGAAAUCUAACUGAUGAAGUUGCUGAGUUUUCUUCUUCUAAUAGUGAAUGAGUCUGCAGAAGAAACUGAGUUGGUAUUAGGGCAUUAUUUUUAAAGAGCAUUUGUAAUUUUAAAUAUCAAUUCAACAAAGUCUGAUAUAUGUUAUUUUUGGUGUACACAUUUUGAUGAUAAAGCUGCAGAGGUUAAACAGGGCUCCUGGAACUCUCCUUGUGUUCCAAUGAGAGAGAGUUCCAGAAGUGUCGUUUGCCUUCUCGGAUCAUAUCCAACACCCAGGUAAAGUGAUCCUCCCUAUCUUAGGGUUCUUCAGGAAGGGACCACACGAGAGAGACGACUACAGCAACGCAGCCGAAGAAGACCAUGCCGAAGGAUGAGAGGAAGAAGAGGUGAAUCACGUGAUGGCUCCACCAAGUCACCUCCUAGAUUCUGAGAUACCCAAAAACCUAAAUCAGAAACAGGAUAAACAGAAGAUGAAGAACAUCAGGAGACAUAGAGAAGAGAGAAGGGGCGAAGGCAGAUGAAUAAGAAGGUGAACAAGGCAUAGGAGCUUAAAGGAGGUGGAGGUAAGGCGAAAUCGGAGCUCUGUAGUGAUGGAGAUGGCGUCUAUGACAACCAUGAAAGGAGGAGAGAGUAGCGGCUUAAAGUUAGGCUUUUGGAAAACUAGGUUUCAUAGAUGGAUGUUGUGUGGCGGAGGAGGCAGAGCGGAGGAGGCAUGCGAAGUAGUUAGGUUUUUUUUCCAGAUUUAGUUCUUAAACCGGUUUAAUUUGUAAACCGAAAAUAUUUGUAAUCUGGUUUAAUUUAUAAACCGAAAUCAGUUGUAAACCGAUUUUUUAAU